UGGGGGAUAUUGCACAAUGGGCGAAAGCCUGAUGCAGCGACGCCGCGUGGGGGAUGAAGGCUUUCGGGUUGUAAACCUCUUUCGCUAUCGAACAAGGCCCGCUUAGGGUGGGUUGAGGGUAGGUGGAGAAGAAGCGCCGGCUAACUACGUGCCAGCAGCCGCGGUAAUACGUAGGGCGCGAGCGUUGUCCGGAAUUAUUGGGCGUAAAGGGCUUGUAGGCGGCUUGUUGCGCCUGCUGUGAAAACGCGGGGCUUAACUUCGCGCGUGCAGUGGGUACGGGCAGGCUUGAGUGUGGUAUGGGUGACUGGAAUUCCAGGUGUAGCGGUGGAAUGCGCAGAUAUCUGGAGGAACACCGAUGGCGAAGGCAGGUCACUGGGCCAUUACUGACGCUGAGGAGCGAAAGCAUGGGUAGCGAACAGG
rnacentral:rRNA from 1 species